rnacentral:ncRNA from 1 species
UACUUGGUUGAUCCUGCCAAGGAAGCACACUUAGGUCAUAGAUUAAGCCAUGCAAGUGUUAGUUCAGGUAACGAAACUGCGAAUAGCUCAUUAAUACGCUCAGAAUCUAUUUGGCGGCGACCAACAGGUCUUAAAUGGAUAGCAGCAGCAACUCUGGUGCUAAUACAUGCGAUUGUUUCUCCAGAUGUGAAUUAUGGAGGAAAAGUUGACCUCAUCAGAGGCACGCCAUUCGACUGAGUGACCUAUCAGCUUGUACUUAGGGUCUUUACCUAGGUAGGCUAUCACGGGUAACGGGCGGUUACCGUCGGACUGCCGGAGAAGGCGCCUGAGAGAUAGCGACUAUAUCCACGGGUAGCAGCAGGCGCGAAACUUUCCCACUCGAGACUUUCAGAGGAGGUAAUGACCAGUUCCAUUGGUGCCUUUUGGUACUGUGGAUAGGGGUACGGUUUUCCACCGUACCGAAACCUAGCAGAGGGCCAGUCUGGUGCCAGCAGCUGCGGUAAUUCCAGCUCUGCGAGUUUGCUCCCAUAUUGUUGCAGUUAAAACGCCCGUAGUCUGAAUUGACCAG